UUCCAAGGAAUCAUUCCUUCAUCUAUGGCUUCCUUGAAGGGUCUCCGGGUGUUAGAUCUUUCGAGAAACAACCUCACUGGAGAAAUUCCAAAAGAUCUGCAAAACUUACGGUAUCUCUUAUUUUUAAAUCUUUCUUUUAAUGAUGUUAUGGGUGAGAUUCCAGCCGAAGGAGUUUUCAGAAAUGCAAGUGCUGUUUCAUUGAUGGGAAACAAUGAUCUCUGUGGAGGUAUCGCUGAAAUGAAGCUUCCUUCUUGCUUCAUCACAAACUCCAAGAAGAACAACCUCUCCCUUGCACUGAAAGUGACAAUCCCAGUGGCUGUCGCAGCCGUAUUUUCAUUUCUGUUGGUGUGUUCCCUAAUUUUCUGGCAUCGGAAAAGGAUUUCUAGAAAGAAGAAUAUUUCCAUGCCAUCAUUUGAGCACCAGUUUCUGAGAAUAUCCUAUGCAGAACUCUUCAAAGCUACAGAUGGAUUCUCUAUGGCAAAUAUAAUUGGUGUCGGAAGCUAUGGAUCUGUUUAUAAAGGACUUCUUGAGCAAGUAGGCAUACAAGUGGCGGUCAAAGUGCUAAACCUGCAACGAAGAGGAGCUUCAAAUAGCUUCAUGUCUGAAUGCCAAGCUCUUAGAACCAUCAGGCAUCGAAAUCUUCUGAAGCUAUUGAGCGUCUGCUCUAGCAUUGACUUUGAAGGCAAUGAUUUCAAAGCUUUGAUAUACGAAUUCAUGGUGAAUGGGAGCCUGGAGAAAUGGCUGCAUGGUCGCAAUGUAGGAGAAGAUGGACCAGAAGGAGAAUCAGGAAAUCUGAAACUAAUAGACAGACUAAACAUUGCCAUUGAUAUUGCAACUGCAAUAGAGUAUCUUCACAAUGGUAGCUCAUCAUCAAUUAUACAUGGUGAUCUAAAGCCAAGUAAUGUUCUUUUAGAUGAGGAGAUGACUGCCCAUAUCGGAGAUUUUGGCUUGGCUAAGAUUGUCGCCUCAGUUUCUGGUGAGAUUCAACAGUAUCAAAGCAGUUCUACAGCAAUCAAAGGAUCUAUUGGCUAUGUUGCUCCAGGUACCCUUCUUUUUCUUUUCUAAUCUGUAAAAAGAAAAAGCAAUGUCGCUUCAUAGUUUGUAUUGUAUCUAUUUGCAGAGUAUGGUUUGGGCGAUCCAGUUUCUAAAGAAGGAGAUAUAUAUAGCUUUGCGAUUCUAUUACUGGAGAUGUUUACAGGAAAGAAGCCAAUCGAUGAAUCUUUUAAAGAUGAUCUAAAUCUUCAUACUUUUGUUGAAAGCAAUUUGCCUGAUAGAGUGAUGGAGAUUUUGGAUCCAAGAAUUGCAUUCGAAGAUGGAGGAGGGAGUUUGAAAGAUUGCAUCCUCUCUGUAAUGAGAAUUGGAGUUGCAUGUUCAAUGGAGUCACCUAUGGAACGAAUGAAUAUGGCUGAUGUCAUGAAAAAGUUGCAUUUGAUACAGAAAACUCUCUGGAUAUUCAGAUACCCAAAAAAUAGACCAGAUGGAGGGUGAUUGAGAGGUGCUUAUCAUUUCAAGAGAAGUCAUAUUGAAUAAAUCUCCACUCUCUUACUUGUAAUCUAUGAAAAUUUAUCUUUCUUAACUAUUCUCCGUUGUUAUUUUUCUUUUUUUCCCCUCAAAUGUGUUGUGAUAAUAAAUUGAUGCUGUACUGAAACAAAUUGUCAUACAAUUUGAGUAUUAUCAAUUUUCAUAAUCAUUAAACUUUAAUUUGUAUCAAUAAAAUUAU
rnacentral:misc_RNA from 1 species